rnacentral:rRNA from 1 species
GACGAACGCUGGCGGCGUGCUUAACACAUGCAAGUCGAACGGAAAGGCCCUUCGGGGUACUCGAGUGGCGAACGGGUGAGUAACACGUGGGUGAUCUGCCCUGCACUUUGGGAUAAGCCUGGGAAACUGGGUCUAAUACCGAAUAGGACCACGCGCUUCAUGGUGUGUGGUGGAAAGCUUUUGCGGUGUGGGAUGGGCCCGCGGCCUAUCAGCUUGUUGGUGGGGUAAUGGCCUACCAAGGCGACGACGGGUAGCCGGCCUGAGAGGGUGACCGGCCACACUGGGACUGAGGUACGGCCCAGACUCCUACGGGAGGCAGCAGUGGGGAAUAUUGCACAAUGGGCGCAAGCCUGAUGCAGCGACGCCGCGUGAGGGAUGACGGCCUUCGGGUUGUAAACCUCCUUCAAUAGGGACGAAGCGCAAGUGACGGUACCUAUAGAAGAAGCACCGGCCAACUACGUG